AGAGGGGGUUGGUGUGGCAGAAGGGAUGGGGGAGGGAGGACACACAAGCAGCACUGUUGAGAAAAGCACAGGCGGCCUCAGUGUCAGUGUGAGGGGACCUUGUGCUGUAGCUGCCACAAAACAGCAUUUGGCCUGAGGCUAUGUUAAUAAUAAAGAUAUUGCCUUUAGAAUACGGAGGUGCUCUACAGUGAUCAUUCAUUCAACUGACCUUUGUUUUCUGACAGACACAGGACAGAGUGGUUCUGCAUCUGGGGAACAUCACUGAAGUAAAAUGAGAAAAAUCUCUGACCUUGUGGAGCAUGUGUUCCAGUGGAAAGACGCAGACGAUAGAUACCCGAUAACCAGAGCAAGGAAAGGAAGUGCUAGAAGGUGGGAUCACCUGGACGUGGUGCUGAGAUCCAGGAAGUCUGGAGUCGAGCAAGAGAUUCUUGAUUUAUAACAAGGCUGGAGCUCAUGCUGCUGGUCUCCAGAUCAAGAACACCAGGAUCCCACAUGCCUGAGCAUCAGUCUCACCUAUAACCCUUGUUAUAUAAGUGAUUCCUUGGUCUUGUGCGUAAUACUCUGAGACAGACAUUCUGGGAAACGGCCUGCGUAUUUUCUAAGCCCCACCAGCAAUCCUGUUGCUCAGCCAGAUUGGGAACCACUGAGACCAGAGAUCAGAGAGUGG